rnacentral:lncRNA from 1 species
UUUUUUUUUCGUUUUCUGAACCGCUGCAAAAAAGGGCAUCAACGUGGGAAUCGAACCUGCGCCGGAGGAAUCAGAACAGGUCGCGCUAACCAACAUACCCACGCCAGCUUCCACAAUUGUUUCAAUCUUUUUCCUUCUUUUGUUCUCGCGUUUGUUUCUUUUUUCUUUUUUUCAGUUGUUCUUUCUUUCUGCCCUUUUCUUUUUUUGUUUCUUUUUUAAACUCGCGAGUUUUUCUUCAAAAUCGACGAACUUUUUUUCAAUUUUAUGAACUUUUUUUCAAAAUCGAUGAACUUUUUCAUAUUCGGUGAACUUCUUGCAGAAUUGGUGAACUUUUUUCAUAUUUGGUGAACUUCUUGCAGAAUCGAUGAAUUUUUUUUAAAAUCGAUGGACUUUUUUCAAAUUCGAUGAACUAUUUUCAAAUUUGAUGAACUUUUUUUUCAGAUUUUUGUGAACCUUUUUUAAAAUCAAUGAACUUUUUUUGUAACCGAUGAACUCUUUUUAAAAUCGAAGAACUUUUUUUCAAAAUCUGUGAACUUUUUUUAGAACCGAUGAACUAUUUCCAAAAUCGAUGAACUUUUUUUGAGAAUUGAUGAAAUUUUUUCAAUUUUUAAUGAAAUUUUGUGAAUUCGUGAACUUUUUUGAAUACAUGAAUUUUUCUAAUUCGUGAUUCUGUUUUAAAUCUGUGGACUUCCGAAAUUUGUUCACGUAUUUUUCAAAAGAUAUCACGUUUUCUAACUUGUUUCAAAUAAUUCAAAAAGUACCUGGCAAUGCGUGUGCAAUAAAUAGCGUGGGUACAGUUUGUUGUACUGUUGCAUUGUCACGCUACUAUGUUACACAAGUGACCUCUAGUGGUUAGCCAACCAGGUACUGGAGGUCAGUUCACGCGUUCGAUUCCGCAGCAGGACCAAAAGUUUCUUGUUUUGUUUUUUGCGAGUGUUGCGUGUUCGUGGGCCGGCCCACCUGGGUGCAGCAGUGACCGCCCGUUGCUUCAACCGGCGCAUAAGGCGCCCUAUAGGAGCUCCCUUCGCCGAUGGGGCCAGAAGGAGACAUGCUGUGCAGCUCUUUCGUCGUCCCGGUUUGGAGAUUGGCAAGGUAGCCGUGGUGCUGUGGGAGCAUGAUGAUCAGCUUGCCGCACCUCCCUCGCAGCCAAACAUAUGGAGCUCGUUGAGGCUGCUCCAGGAUUGGUUCUAGGUCGAUCACCCCGGUGCGCGACCAGUCGUGUCCAUGCCCUGCCGCGGGCUGCGUCCAGAUCUCCACCAACUGGAGGCCUGCGUCAUAGAGUACAAGCAGAGCGACAAGAACUUUCCAUCGGCGGUGGUAGCGAGGCGGCUUCGGUCGCCCUGGACAGCGAGAUCGUGGUUGCCGACACACGAGCUUAUGGGGCUCAUGAGCUUGGUUGAGGAGACGCGGCAGGUCUCGGCGUCGACGCGAAGGACGCAGAAGAUGGAGGACGCGCUCUGGCAAACGACGGCUUCGCUGUUCAUGAGGAACCCCAGCGCCGCCCUGCUUCGGCACCUGGUAGGCGCGUUCCAGCUCGGCUGGCCAGCCACGAAGGUGUGGAGCUCGUAGUCCGUCUCCCUCGCUACGAUCAUUAGCACUUUGAACGAGGACGACGACGAUGGCCGACAGUCCGCGCCGGUUAAAAUGGCAUGGCCUACGUACGGACUGUUUGGUUCCCAACCACACCUUGCCACACUUUGACACGCUUAACCUUAGAUAAGUUUGACCAAAUUAAGUAGUUGUUUGGUUCUAGCCACACCUAAGGCAAGAAUUUUUUUUAUGAGCAAUGAACCCCACAUGUCAUAGACAUAAAAAGUGUGGCAAGAUUUCCUUAGGCAAGCCAAAGUGUGGCUAAUAAUUUGAGCAAUUUAACUAAGGCAAGUGUGGCAAAAAUUAUGUGACAAUAUAUGACAAAGAUAGUCACAAUCCAAACAGCCCCGUAGUAUAUAUACCAUUCGAACGGGGGCAGCACGACGUAUGUGCCGGCAAGCAGACUGCACAUGGCCAGCGGGACGCCGACCAGCGGCCCCGGGCUAUGGUUGAGGAGUCUGAAGAGGAUGAGGCCGUCGGGCGACGUCAGCGGCCACACGGAGUCAGCGGGGAGGCCAGCGGCGUCGGGGACUAAGGAGCUGAGCAAGCGGCCACCGUCCGCUAGGGCAGAUCCCUCGUUCAACUCCUUGGGGCGGAAUGGGCCGAGGAGGGAGUACUCGGGGUCUGGCCAGCGGCGGCGGAGGAAGGAGGGGUGGGCGACGAGGGCGCGCCACCGCCUGCACGUGGCGGCGCAGCGGAGGAGCGCGGGCGCGUCCGGCACGCGCGCGAGGAUCUCGAGGAUGACGUCAUCGGGGAACGUGUCUGCGCCCAUCGAGUUAUUUGUGGAACUUGGGAUCAGCUACGGUCGCCGGCAGGUUGGUCGCUCGCCGGAGGAUCUCCCUUUUCUUGUCUUGGUGUUACAACUCACGCUCUGCCCUUUUGCUUAUAUCUAGGGUGAAAAAAAACUCACGGUCUGCCCUUGUACUUAUACUAACUAAAUACUCGUGCGUUGCCAUGGACCAUCAAUUUUACUUGUUGCUCACCAUCCUUACUGCACGCCUACACAGAUACAACCUCGAGAGUUGUCUCGCCGCCAUCACGGACACAUGAUCACCCCCUUGUUCUCCUUCAUUGUUUGACCAUAUGGUCAUACAAUUGUCCUUCCAUAACCCUAACAACCCAUCACUAAAAGAGCCCAAUUCAUGAGAGAUAUUGGCCUGACAUGCUCUUGCUCAAAUCCCGUAUAGCUUGAGAGAUAUUGGCGUCCAGAAACAAUGCGUGUACACUGCCUUAUAACAAUAAGUUUAGGCAUAAAGAUAUUUUUUCGGCACAGAGAUAGUUGUAUAAUCAUCUUCUAAUCCACAAAGCAAGUGUCCUGAUUUUAUUUAUUUAUUUGAAUAGUUUGUAUUGGCUUAUUUUUAUAUUACGACAAAUAUGACCUUGCGCUUAGCUUCCAUUUAAGGUGACACUUUACCCUAUGUAUGCCUGCAAAUCAUCAUGGGCACAAGAUAAAAAGAAAAAAGAAAUAUUAGCAGUACCGUGCACCUUUAGCAUAGAUUAUUACAGAAUCACCAAAUAGGCAUAUAUAGUGAACGGCGAGAAUAUAUUAGAGAAUUUUCACCACAUCAAUAGGCCAUGCAAGGUCCACACAACAAACAAACAAUACUCAGGAAUAGAAGAACAUUUGCUUAAUAUUCCCUCCGUUUCAAAUUAUAAGAUGUUCUAGUGUUUUUCUGAUUCGGAUGUAUAUCGACGCAUUUUAGUGUGCUUGUUCAUUCAGUCCAGUAUGUACAUAGUCCAUAUUAAAAUAUCCAAAACAUCUUAUAAUUUAGAAUGAAGGUACUAUAAUUUAUUUUUUAUAUUCAUAACCAUACUACUUUUCUUUUACAUGCAUGUCCAUAAAAUUCUUAUUAGUGGCAGACAACCCUGGCCACCCAGUUGCUUUAUAUUUCAAGAUACUUGCAUAGAAAAGGCACAUGAAACCUGUAAGAACAAACUGACAUGAUACAUGAUCAUUCGACCAGCAAGCAUAUCAUCAUCAGGAGCCCCUCAUUUUACAACCUCAUCCAUCUCCAGUGCAGCCAACAAAGGAAAUCAUCCAUGUAAGUGCCAUUGGGACCUAGUUACUAUUAAUGAAGAAAUUCAUGACAGAUCUUGGUGACCCAAUGAAAGACUAAGCUGACAAUAGAGCUCUGGUAUAUUAGCAAGGCCCCAGAAGGCAACUCCUGCACGACCAUGUUGGUGCUAUCAUAGACCCCAACAAUUAGUUUCUCACCGUAGGUCCCAGCAAGGAUGUGACCACCGAAGAUAGUUAUUCCUGCAACAUUUAGUUAGAAUUGAUGCACGCAAUAACUAAAAUAAUGGUAGACAUUCUCGGAAAAACAAAACAAAAACCAAUUGUAGACCUAAGAUAUUUCAGUGCAAACAGAAAACUCCAAAACUAACUUGGAAGGAAAGAUAACUACCGUAUUAGGAUAAUUUCAGUUAGGGAUGUAUGUGCACACAUGACAAUAACUUCGUAUUUCUCUAUCGCUAACAGGAGUUUUAAGAACACACGUGAGUUGAACACCGCUGAAUGCUGAUAUGCCACAAGAUUACUCCAAAGUCCAAAUGCACUGAAGAUAAGAGUCUGGAAUGUCAAUCAUAAAAGCCAUAAUCUAUUUUUAUGUGCAAAAGGUGAAUACAAUAGAGAAUCUUCUACAAAAUGGACGACCUCCACAAUCAAGAUAAAACUGAUUACUCAAUGGUAACAUUAGAAUUGUUUUACAAUUUUACCAUAAAAUUGUGCAACAAACUAUACAACUAAGUGAUCCUCCCAAUGUUGACAAUAAUCAACAAUUAGUUGAAGUGUUGCAGAAGCAAGGCAAUGGCUAGCGACAUCUGAGAGUAAGAUAUCCUACAAGGAACAAGCCGCUAAAUCUCAAGAAAGACAACAAUCAUCGGCGAACUGGAAAUGAUACUCAUAGAGUACUUAUAGUUGUCUCGUUGAAGGAGCGGGAAGGAAAGGGAGGUGAAGUGUUGGAGCACUGGAGCCCUGAUCCUAUGUAGUUGGUAUGGAUGGCACAGGUAUUUGAGAUGAUGCCCAAGAGUGAGCUUCUGGUUGUCAUUGUCAAUUAUGUAAUAGAUAUCCACGAGAAAGAUGGGGACUGAACUGAAGCAACUGGUACGGCAGGAGGGUCAGAGGUGGAUAAUCAACAGUCGAGGACGAGGUGAUCUUGGUGGCGACCUCGUCCAAAUCCCCAAUGGCCGGGAACUUCCCGCCUCAUGCGGUCCUACCACUCCUGCUCCUGUGUUAGAUGGCAUCAAAUUCCCUUACGAAAAUUGAAGAAGACCAUAGCGAACAAACAUCAAAAGCUGCUCUCAGUUCUUCUUGCCUUCGUUACUGUUUUAACUAAUGCCUAGAAUUCUGUAACAAAAGUAUUUACUCCACCUUUCUGUAAUGUUGAAGCAGUCGCUGAACCAUGCAAUAUGAGCAUCGAAACACAAAUAAAAGAUGGGUAUCAAAUUAUGAUUUUUCACAAUCAAAACAUGUUAAAACCACACAAAAUAUUUUCUCUAGUUAUGUUCACCAACAAGAAAAGUACGUAUAGAAGCAAGUAAUAUCUGAGGAUCAAGAACAUAUGUAAGCAUUUACCACUCGACCUGAAUAUAAUGAUGUUCUUUUUCUUCCAGUCCUACUUCUAUCACAAUGACUCCACUGGCGUAAAGACCUGCCAAACAAAUGUUGAAUCUGAGAAUUCAGCACGACCACAACUACUGAAUCAAAUCGAAUUGGAUCAAAUCAAACCAGUGCAGGUUCUUGCGAGGGCAGGAAUGUAUAUGACCUCCUCAAUAAGGAGACUCUGCUCGUCGGUUGCCACACUGUCUUGACUUGGAGCUUGCUGUCGGCCGAGUGCGGCAUCUCAAUGUGUGGCGUCACCCUCCUUUGAUCGGUGAUGGCCAUCAACAUCCAUACAACCGUUAGUGCAAAAGGUGAAUUCUAUAUUUCUUCUGCCCAUACAAGAAUCUGCAAACAAGUUAGUUUUAUUCAAAAAUCAACAGCUCACUUUUAUUCAUACAACAACAUCAUGUCACUUCAUUCAUGCAACAACAGCAACACAGAGCAGCAUUAUGACAAGGAUGUAAAAAAGAUGAGAGAUAGAGGGGAUGACAACCUUGCUGCUGGAGGGGUGAAAAUCAGUGUUUAUCCUUGCCUUUUUCGAAGAACAUGCGGAGUGCGGCGUGGGCGACGGCACAGAGAGAGGCGGCAGGACGACGUUGAAGGAAAUAUGUCCUAGAGGCAAUAAUAAAGUUAUUACUUAUUUCCUUAUAUCAUGAUAAAUGUUUAUUAUUCAUGCUAGAGUUGUAUUAACCGGAAACAUAAUACAUGUGUGAAUACAUAGACAAACAGAGUGUCACUAGUAUGCCUCUACUUGACUAGCUCGUUAAUCAAAGAUGGUUAUGUUUCCUAACCAUGGACAAAGAGUUGUUAUUUGAUUAACGGGAUCACAUCAUUAGGUGAAUGAUCUGAUUGACAUGACCCAUUCCAUUAGCUUAGCACCCGAUCGUUUAGUAUGUUGCUAUUGCUUUCUUCAUGACUUAUACAUGUUCCUAUGACUAUGAGAUUAUGCAACUCCCGUUUGCCGGAGGAACACUUUGUGUGCUACCAAACGUCACAACGUAACUGGGUGAUAAUAAAGGUGCUCUACAGGUGUCUCCAAAGGUACAUGUUGGGUUGGCGUAUUUCGAGAUUAGGAUUUGUCACUCCGAUUGUCGGAGAGGUGUCUCUGGGCCCUCUCGGUAAUGCACAUCACAUAAGCCUUGCAAGCAUUGCAACUAGUGAGUUAGUUGUGAGAUGCUGUAUUACGAAACGAGUAAAGAGACUUGCCGGUAAUGAGAUUGAACUAGGUAUUGAGAUACCGAUGAUCGAAUCUCGGGUAAGUAACAUACCGAUGACAAAGGGAACAACAUAUGUUGUUAUGCAGUCUGACCGAUAAAGAUCUUCGUAGAAUAUGUGGGAGCCAAUAUGAGCAUCCAGGUUCCGCUAUUGGUUAUUGACCGGAGACGUGUCUCGGUCAUGUCUACAUUGUUCUCGAACCCGUAGGGUCCGCACGCUUAAGGUUUCGAUGACAGUUAUAUUAUGAGUUUAUGCAUUUUGAUGUACCGAAGUUUGUUCGGAGUCUAGGAUGUGAUCACGGAGAUGACGAGGAGUCUCGAAAUGGUCGAGACAUAAAGAUUGAUAUAUUGGAAGCCUAUAUUUGGAUAUCAGAAGUGUUCCGGGUGAAAUCGGGAUUUUACCGGAGUACCGGGAGGUUACCGGAACCCCCCGGGAGGUAUAUGGGCCUUAGUGGGCUUUAGUGGAAGAGAGGAGAGGUGGCCAGGGCUGGGCCGCGCACCCCUCCCCCCUAGUCUGAAUAGGACAAGGAGAGGGGGGCGGCGCCCCCCUUCCUUCUCUCUCUCCUCUUUCCUCCCUCCCGAAUCCUAUUCCAACUAGGAAAGGGGGGGAAUCCUACUCCCAGAGGGAGUAGGACUCCUCCUGGCGCGCCCUCUCCUGGCCGGCCGCACCCCCCUUUGAUCCUUUAUAUACGGAGGCAGAGGGCACCCCUAGACACACAAGUUGAUUCGCGUGAUCAUAUUCUUAGCCGUGUGCGGUGCCCCCUUCCACCAUAGUCCUCGAUAAUAUUGUAGCGGUGCUUAGGCGAAGCCCUGCGACGAUAGUACAUCAAGAUCGUCACCAUGCCGUCGUGCUGACGGAACUCUUCCCCGACACUUUGCUGGAUCGGAGUCCGGGGAUCGUCAUUGAGCUGAACGUGUGCUAGAACUCGGAGGUGCCGUAGUUUCCGUGCUUGAUCGGUCGGGCCGUGAAGACGUACGACUACAUCAACCGCGUUGUGCUAACGCUUCCGCUGUCGGUCUACAAGGGUACGUAGAUGACACUCUCCCCUCUUGUUGCUAUGCAUCACCAUGAUCUUGCGUGUGUGUAGGAAUUUUUUUGAAAUUACUACGUUCCCCAACAGUGGCAUCCGAGCCUAGGUUUUAUAUGUUGAUGUUAUAUGCACGAGUAGAACACAAGUGAGUUGUGGGCGAUAUAAGUCAUACUGCUUACCAGCAUGUCAUACUUUGGUUCGGCGGUAUUGUUGGACGAAGCGGCCCGAACCGACAUUACGCGUACGCUUACGCGAGACCGGUUCUCCCGACGUGCUUUGCACAAAGGUGGCUAGCGGGUGACAGUUUCUCCAACUUUAGUUGAACCGAGUGUGGCUACGCCCGGUCUUUGCGAAGGUUAAAACAACACCAACUUGACAAACUAUCGUUGUGGUUUUGAUGCGUAGGUAAGAUUGGUUCUUGCUUAAGCCCAUAGCAGCCACGUAAAACUUGCAACAACAAAGUAGAGGACGUCUAACUUGUUUUUGCAAGGCAUGUUGUGAUGUGAUGUGGUCAAGACAUGAUGCUAAAUUUUAUUGUAUGAGAUGAUCAUGUUUUAUAACCGAGUUAUCGGCAACUGGCAGGAGCCAUAUAGUUGUCGCUUUAUUGUAUGCAAUGCAAUCAUGCUGUAAUGCUUUACUUUAUCACUAAGCGGUAGCGAUAGUCGUGGAAGCAUAAGAUUGGCGAGACGACAACGAUGCUACAAUGGAGAUCAAGGUGUCGCGCCGGUGACGAUGGUGAUCACGACGGUGCUUCGAAGAUGGAGAUCACAAGCACAAGAUGAUGAUGGCCAUAUCAUAUCACUUAUAUUGAUUGCAUGUGAUGUUUAUCUUUUAUGCAUCUUAUCUUGCUUUGAUUGAUGGUAGCAUUAUAAGAUGAUCUCUCACUAAUUAUCAAGAAGUGUUCUCCCUGAGUAUGCACCGUUGCGAAAGUUCUUUGUGCUGAGACACCACGUGAUGAUCGGGUGUGAUAGGCUCUACGUUCAAAUACAACGGGUGCAAAACAGUUGCACACGCGGAAUACUCAGGUUAUACUUGACGAGCCAAGCAUAUACAUAUAUGGCCUCGGAACACGGAGACCGAAAGGUCGAGCGUGAAUCAUAUAGUAGAUAUGAUCAACAUAAUGAUGUUCAUGUUGGGGAACGUAGCAGAAAUUCAAAAUUUUCCUACGUGUCACCAAGAUCUAUCUAUGGAGAAACCAGCUACGAGUAGAAGGAGAGUGCAUCUACAUACCCUUGUAGAUCGCUAAGCGGAAGCGUUCAAGUGAACGGGGUUGAUGGAGUCGUACUCGUCGUGAUUCAGAUCACCGAUGAUCAAGUGCCGAACGCACGGCACCUCCGCGUUCAACACACGUACAGCCCGGUGACGUCUCCCACGCCUUGAUCCAGCAAGGAGAGAGGGAGAGGUUGAGGAAGACUCCAUCCAGCAGCAGUACAACGGCGUGGUGGUGAUGGAGGAGCGUGGCAAUCCUGCAGGGCUUCGCCAAGCACCUACGGGAGAGGAGGAGGUGUCACGGGAGGGAGGGAGGCGCCAAGGGCUCAGGUAUGGAUGCCCUCCCUCCCCUCCACUAUAUAUAGGGGCAGGGGAGAGGGGGGAGGCGCAGCCUUGCCCCUUCCUCCAAGGAAGGGGUGCGGCUAAGAAGGGGGGAGGAGUCCAUCCUCCCCAAGGCACCUCGGAGGUGCCUUCCCCCUUUAGGACUCUCCCCUUUUUCCUAUAUCUUGGCGCAUGGGCCUCUAGGGGCUGGUGCCCUUGGCCCAUGUAGGCCAAGGCGCACCCCCUACAGCCCAUGUGGCCCCCCGGGGCAGGUGGCCCCACCCGGUGGGCCCCCGAGACCCUUCCGGUGGUCCCGGUACAAUACCGAUGACCCCGAAACUUGUCCCGAUGGCCGAAACAGGACUUCCUAUAUAUAAAUCUUUACCUCCGGACCAUUCCGGAACUCCUCGUGACGUCUGGGAUCUCAUCCGGGACUCCGAAAAACAUUCGGUAACCACAUACAAGCUUCCUUUAUAACCCUAGCGUCAUCGAACCUUAAGUGUGUAGACCCUACGGGUUCGGGAGACAUGCAGACAUGACCGAGACGUUCUCCGGUCAAUAACCAACAGCGGGAUCUGGAUACCCAUGUUGGCUCCCACAUGUUCCACGAUGAUCUCAUCGGAUGAACCACGAUGUCAAGGACUCAAUCGAUCCCGUAUACAAUUCCCUUUGUCUAGCGGUAUUUUACUUGCCCGAGAUUCGAUCGUCGGUAUACCGAUACCUUGUUCAAUCUCGUUACCGGCAAGUCUCUUUACUUGUUCCGUAACACAUCAUCCCGUGAUCAACCCCUUGGUCACAUUGUGCACAUUAUGAUGAUGUCCUACCGAGUGGGCCCAGAGAAACCUCUCCGUUUACACGGAGUGACAAAUCCCAGUCUCGAUCCGCAUAAAAUAAUAGAUACUUUCGGAGAUACCUGUAGUGCACCUUUAUAGUCACCCAGUUACGUUUUGACGUUUGAUACACCCAAAGCACUCCUACGGUAUCCAGGAGUUACACGCUCUCAUGGUCAAAGGAAGAGAUACUUGACAUUGGCAAAGCUCUAGCAAACGAACUACACGAUCUUUGUGCUAGUCUUAGGAUUGGGUCUUGUCCAUCACAUCAUUCUCCUAAUGAUGUGAUCCCGUUAUCAACGACAUCCAAUGUCCAUAGCCAGGAAACCAUGACUAUCUGUUGAUCACAACGAGCUAGUCAACUAGAGGCUUACUAGGGACAUGGUGUUGUCUAUAUAUCCACACAUGUAUCUGAGUUUCCUAUCAAUACAAUUAUAGCAUGGAUAAUAAACAAUUAUCAUGAACAAGGAAAUAUAAUAAUAACACUUUUAUUAUUGCCUCUAGGGCAUAUUUCCAACAGUCUCCCACUUGCACUAGAGUCAAUAAUCUAGUUCACAUCACCAUGUGAUUAACACUAACAGGUCACAUCACCAUGUAACCAACAUCCAAAGAGUUUACUAGUGUCACUAAACUAGUUCACAUCAUCAUGUGAUCAAGACUCAAUGAGAUCUGGGGUUUGGUCAUGUUCUGCUUGUGAGAGAGGUUUUAGUCAACGGGUCUGAACCUUUCAGAUCCGUGUGUGCUUUACAAAUCUCUAUGUCAUCUCCUAGAUGUAGCUCCCACGUUCUAUUUGGAGCUAUUCCAAAUAACUGUUCUACUUGGAGCUAUUCUAAAUUGUUGAUCCAUUAUACGUAUCCGGUAUCUCUACUCAGAGCUAUCCGGAUAGGUGUUAAGCUUGCAUCGACGUAACCCUUUACGACGAACUCUUUUAUCACCUCCAUAAUCGAGAAAAUUCCUUAGUCCACUAGUUACUAAGGAUAACUUUGACCGCUGUUUGUGAUCCAUUCUUGGAUCACUCUUGUACCCCUUGACUAACUCAUGGCAAGGCACACUUCAGGUGCGGUACACAGCAUAGCAUACUGUAGAGCCUAUGUCUUAAGCAUAGGAGACGACCUUCGUCCUUUCUCUCUACUCUGCCAUGGUCGAGCUUUAAGUCUUAACUUCGUACCUUACAACUCAGGCAAGAAUUUCUUCUUUGACUGAUCCAUCUUGAACACCUUCAAGAUCAUGUCAAGGUAUAUGCUCAUUUUGAAAGUAUUAUUAAGCAUUUUGAUCUAUCCUUAUAGAUCUCGAUGCUCAAUGUUCAAGUAGCUUAAUCCAGGUUUUCUAUUGAAAAACACCUUUCAAAUAACCCUAUAUGCUUUCUAGAAAUUCUACAUCAUUUCUGAUCAACAUAUACUCAUCAGAAAUUCUAUAGUGCUCCCACUCACUUCUUUGGAAAUACAAGUUUCUCAUAAACUUUGUACAAACCCAAAAUCUUUGAUCAUCAUUAAAGCAUACAUUCCAACUCCGAGAUGCUCACUCCAGUCCUUAGAAGGAUCGCUGGAGCUAGCAUACCUUUUAGCAUCCUUAGGAUCGACAAAAACUUUCUGAUUGUAUUACCUACAAUCUUUCCUCACGAAAACUGGUAAGGAAACUCGUUUUGAUAUCCAUCUGCCAGAUUUCAUAAAUACAGCUAAUGCUAACAUGAAUCCGACGGACUUUAAGCAUCGCUACGGAUGAGAAAAUCUCAUCGUAGUCAACUCCUUGAACUUGUGAAAAACUUUUCGCCACAAGUCGAGCUUCAUGGACGGUGACAUUACCAUCCACGUCCGUCUUCUUCUUAAAGAUCCAUUUAUCUUAAUGGCUUGCCGAUCAUCGGGCAAGUCCUCCAAAGUCCAUGGAUCCGUUCUCGGAUUUUAUGGCCUCGAGCCAUUUAUCGGAAUCCGGGCCCACCAUCGCUUCUCCAUAGCUCGUAGGCUCAUUGUUGUCUAGCAACAUGACUUCCAAGACAGGAUUACGAACCACUCUCAAGUAGUACGCAUCCUUGUCAUCCUACGAGGUUUGGGAGUGACUUGAUCUGAAGUUUCAUGAUCACUAUCAUAAGCUUCCACUUCAAUUGGUGUAGGUGCCACGGGAACAACUUCCUGUGCCCUGCUACACACUGGUUGAAGUGAUGGUUCAAUAACCUCAUCAAGUCUCCACCAUCCUCCCACUCAACUCUUUCGAGAGAAACCUUUCCUCGAGAAAGGACCCGAUUCAAGAAACAAUCCAUAUUGCUUUCGGAUCUGAAUUAGGAGGUAUACCCAACUGUUUUGGGUGUCCUAUGAAGAUGUAUUUUAUCCGCUUUGGGUUCGAGCUUAAUCCUGAAACUUUUUCACAUAAGCGUCGCAGCCCCAAACCUUUAAGAAACGACAACUUAGGUUUCUCUAAACCAUAAUUCAUACGGUGUCAUCUCAUCGGAAUUACGUGGUGCCCUAUUUAAAGUGAAUGUGGUUGUCUCUAAUGCCUAACCCAUGAACGACAGUGGUAAUUCGAUAAGAGACAUCAUGGUACGCACCAUAUCCAAUAGGGUGCAACUAUGAUGUUCGGACACACCAUCACACUAUGGUGUUCCAGCCGGUAUUAAUUAUGAAACAAUUUCCACAAUGUCUUAAUUGUGUGCCAAAACUCGUAACUCAGAUAUUUAUCUUUAUGAUCGUAUCAUAGACAUUUUAUCCUCUUGUCACAAUGAUCUUCUACUUCACUCUGAAAUUACUUGAACCAUUCAAUAAUUCAGAGUUGUGUUUCAUCAAGUAAAUAUUCUCAACAUCUACUCGAAUCAUCUGUGAAGUAAGAACAUAACGAUAUUCACUGCAUGCCUCAGCAUUUAUUGGACUGCACACAUCAAAAUGUGUUACUUCCAACAAGUUGCUAUCUUGUUCCAUCUUAUUGAAACCGAGGCUUUUCAGUCAUCUUGCCUAUGUGGUAUGAUUUGCAUAUCUCAAGUGAUUCAAAAUCAAGUGAGUCCGAACGGUCCAUUUGCAUGGAGUUUCUUCAUGCAUAUACACCAAUAGACAUGGUUCGCAUGUCUCAAACUUUUCAAAAACGAGUGAGUCCAAAGAUCCAUCAACAUGGAGCUUCUUCAUGCGUUUUAUACCAUUAUGACUUACAUGGCAGUGCCACAAGUAAGUGGUACUAUCAUUACUAUCUUAUAUCUUUUGGCAUGAAAAUGUGUAUCCCUACGAUCAAGAUUCAACAAACCAUUCCUAUAGGUGCAAGAGCACUUAUUCAGGUUUAAUACUAAUCUUGAUGGUAGAGGGAGCGUGCAAUGUUAGAUCACAUCAAACUUGGAAACACUUCCAACACAUAUCGUCAGCUCACCUUUAGCUAGUCUCCGUUUCAUUCCGUAGCUUUUAUUUCGAGUUACUAACACUUAGCAACCGAACCGGUAUCUAAUACCCUGGUGCUACUAGGAGUACUAGUAAAGUACACAUUAACAUAAUGUAUAUCCAAUAUACUUCUAUCGACCUUGCCAGCCUUCUCAUCUACCAAGUAUCUAGGGUAAUUCUGCUCUAGUGACUGUUCCCCUUAUUAUAGAAGCACUUAGUCUCGGGUUUGGGUUCAACCUUGGGUUUCUUCACUGGAGCAGCAGCUGAUCUGCCGUUUCAUGAAGUAUCCCUUCUUGCCCUUGCCCUUCUUGAAACUAGUGGUUUCACCAACCAUCAACAAUUGAUGCUCCUUCUUGAUUUCUACUUUCGCGGUGUCAAACAUCGUGAAUACCUCAAGGAUCAUCUUAUUUAUCCCUGAUAUGUUAUAGUUCAUCACGAAGCUCUAGCAGCUCGGUGGCAAUGACUUUGGAGAAACAUCACUAUCUCAUUUGGAAGAUCAACUCCCACUCGAUUCAAGUGAUUGUAGCACUCAGACAAUCUGAGCACAAGCUCAACGAUUGAGCUUUUCUCCCUUAGUUUGUAGGCUAAGAAAAUUGUCGGAGGUCUCAUACCUCUUGACGUGGGCACGAGCCUGAAAUCCCAAUUUCAGCCCUCGAAACAUCUCAUAUGUUCCGCGAUGUUUCGAAAACGUCUUUGGUGCCUCUACUUAAACCAUUUAACUGAACUAUCACGUAGUUAUCAAAAUGUGUAUGUUCGAUGUUCGAAACAUCCACAAACGACGUUUGGGGUUCAGCACACUGAGUAGUGCAUUAAGGACAUAAGCUUUCUAGUGUCCGCAUAAUCGCUACUGUCAACUUUCAACUAUAUUUUCUCUAGGAACAUAACUAAAACAGUAGAACUAAAGUGUGAGCUACGACAUAAUUUGCAAAAGGUCUUUUGACUAUGUUCAGGAUAAUUAAGUUCAUCUUAUGAAUUCCCACUCAGAUAGACAUCCCUCUGGUCAUCUAAGUGAUUACAUGAUCCGAGUCAACUAGGCCGUGUCCGAUCAUCACGUGAGACAGACUAGUCAUCAUCGGUGAACAUCUUCAUGUUGAUCGUAUCUACUAUACGACUCAUGCUCGACCUUUCGGUCUCCGUGUUCCGAGGCCAUGUCUGUACAUGCUAGGCUCAUCAAGUUAACCCUAAGUGUUUUCGUUGUGUAAAACUGUCUUACACCCGUUGUAUGUGAACGUAAGAAUCCAUCACACCCGAUCAUCACGUGGUGCUUAGAAGCGACGAACUGUAGCAACGGUGCACAGUUAGGGGAGAACACUUCUUGAAAUUUUGCAAGGGAUCAUCUUAUUUACUACCGUCGUCCUAAGUAAACAAGAUGCAUAAUCAUAAUAAACAUCACAUGCAAUUAUAUAGUUGUGACAUGAUAUGGCCAAUAUCAUAUAGCUCCAUUGAUCUCCAUCUUCGGGGCUCCAUGAUCAUCUUGUCACCGGCUUGACACCAUGAUCUCCAUCAUCAUGAUCUCCAUCAUCGUCUCUUCAUGAAGUUGUCACGCCAAUGACUACUUCUACUUCUAUGACUAACGCGCUUAGCAAUAAAGUAAAGUAGUUUACAUGGCGUUCUUCAAUGACACGCAGGUCAUACAAUAAAUUAAGACAACUCCUAUGGCUCCUGCCGGUUGUCAUACUCAUCGACAUGCAAGUCGUGAAUCCUAUUACAAGAACAUGAUCAAUCUCAUACAUCACAUAUAUCAUUCAUCACAUCCUUUUGGCCAUAUCACAACACAUAGCAUACCCUGCAAAAACAAGUUAGACGUCCUCUAAUUGUUGUUUGCAUGUUUUACGUGGCUGCUAUGGGUUUCUAGCAAGAACGUUUCUUACCUACGCAAAACCACAACGUGAUAUGCCAAUUGCUAUUUAUCCUUCAUAAGGACCCUUUUCAUCGAAUCCGUUCCGACUAAAGUGGGAGAGACUGGCACCCGCUAGCCACCUUAUGCACCAAGUGCAUGUCAAUCGGUGGAACCUGUCUCACGUAAGAGUACGUGUAAGGUCGGUCCGGGCCACUUCAUCCCACAAUACCGCCGAAACAAGAUUAGACUAGUAACGGUAAGCAUAUUGAACAACAUCAACGCCCACAACUACUUUGUGUUCUACUCGUGCAAAGAAUCUACGCAAUAGACCUGGCUCUGAUACCACUGUUGGGGAACGUAGCAGAAAUUCAAAAUUUUCCUACGUGUCACCAAGAUCUAUCUAUGGAGAAACCAGCUACGAGUAGAAGGAGAGUGCAUCUACAUACCCUUGUAGAUCGCUAAGCGGAAGCGUUCAAGUGAACGGGGUUGAUGGAGUCGUACUCGUCGUGAUUCAGAUCACCGAUGAUCAAGUGCCGAACGCACGGCACCUCCGCGUUCAACACACGUAUAGCCCGGUGACGUCUCCCACGCCUUGAUCCAGCAAGGAGAGAGGGAGAGGUUGAGGAAGACUCCAUCCAGCAGCAGCACAACGGCGUGGUGGUGAUGGAGGAGCGUGGCAAUCCUGCAGGGCUUCGCCAAGCACCUACGGGAGAGGAGGAGGUGUCACGGGAGGGAGGGAGGCGCCAAGGGCUCAGGUAUGGAUGCCCUCCCUCCCCUCCACUAUAUAUAGGGGCAGGGGAGAGGGGGGAGGCGCAGCCUUGCCACUUCCUCCAAGGAAGGGGUGCGGCUAAGAAGGGGGGAGGAGUCCAUCCUCCCCAAGGCACCUCGGAGGUGCCUUCCCCCUUUAGGACUCUCCCCUUUUUCCUAUAUCUUGGCGCAUGGGCCUCUAGGGGCUGGUGCCCUUGGCCCAUGUAGGCCAAGGCGCACCCCCUACAGCCCAUGUGCCCCCCCGGGGCAGGUGGCCCCACCCGGUGGGCCCCCGGGACCCUUCCGGUGGUCCCGGUACAAUACCGAUGACCCCGAAACUUGUCCCGAUGGCCGAAACAGGACUUCCUAUAUAUAAAUCUUUACCUCCGGACCAUUCCGGAACUCCUCGUGACGUCUGGGAUCUCAUCCGGGACUCCGAAAAACAUUCGGUAACCACAUACAAGCUUCCUUUAUAACCCUAGCGUCAUCGAACCUUAAGUGUGUAGACCCUACGGGUUCGGGAGACAUGCAGACAUGACCGAGACGUUCUCCGGUCAAUAACCAACAGCAGGAUCUGGAUACCCAUGUUGGCUCCCACAUGUUCCACGAUGAUCUCAUCGGAUGAACCACGAUGUCAAGGACUCAAUCGAUCCCGUAUACAAUUCCCUUUGUCUAGCGGUAUUUUACUUGCCCGAGAUUCGAUCGUCGGUAUACCGAUACCUUGUUCAAUCUCGUUACCGGCAAGUCUCUUUACUCGUUCCGUAACACAUCAUCCCGUGAUCAACCCCUUGGUCACAUUGUGCACAUUAUGAUGAUGUCCUACCGAGUGGGCCCAGAGAAACCUCUCCGUUUACACGGAGUGACAAAUCCCAGUCUCGAUCCGCAUAAAACAAUAGAUACUUUCGGAGAUACCUGUAGUGCACCUUUAUAGUCACCCAGUUACGUUUUGACGUUUGAUACACCCAAAGCACUCCUACGGUAUCCAGGAGUUACACGCUCUCAUGGUCAAAGGAAGAGAUACUUGACAUUGGCAAAGCUCUAGCAAACGAACUACACGAUCUUUGUGCUAGUCUUAGGAUUGGGUCUUGUCCAUCACAUCAUUCUCCUAAUGAUGUGAUCCCGUUAUCAACGACAUCCAAUGUCCAUAGCCAGGAAACCAUGACUAUCUGUUGAUCACAACGAGCUAGUCAACUAGAGGCUUACUAGGGACAUGGUGUUGUCUAUAUAUCCACACAUGUAUCUGAGUUUCCUAUCAAUACAAUUAUAGCAUGGAUAAUAAACGAUUAUCAUGAACAAGGAAAUAUAAUAAUAACACUUUUAUUAUUGCCUCUAGGGCAUAUUUCCAACAGUUAACCAAUGAAACUACUUCAUCUCAUGUGAUGAUCGGACAUGGUUUAGUUGAUUUGGAUCACGUAAUCACUUAGAGGAUUAGAGGGAUGUCUAUCUAAGUGGGAGUUCUUUAAGUAAUAUGAUUAAUUGAACCUAAAUUUAUCAUGAACUUAGUACCUGAUAGUAUCUUGCUUAUUUAUGUUUGAUUGUAGAUAGAUGGCCCGUGCUGUUGUUCCGUUGAAUUUUAAUGCGUUCCUUGAGAAAGCUAAGUUGAAAGAUGAUGGUAGCAAUUACACGGACUGGGUCCAUAACUUGAGGAUUAUCCUCAUUGCUGCACAGAAGAAUUAUGUCCUGGAAGCACCGCUGGGUGCCAGGCCUGCUGCUGGAGCAACACCAGAUGUUAUGAACGUCUGGCAGAGCAAAGCUGAUGACUACUCGAUAGUUCAGUGUGCCAUGCUUUACGGCUUAGAAUCGGGACUUCAACGACGUUUUGAACGUCAUGGAGCAUAUGAGAUGUUUCAGGAGUUGAAGUUAAUAUUUCAAGCAAAUGCCCAGAUUGAGAGAUAUGAAGUCUCCAAUAAGUUCUAUAGCUGUAAGAUGGAGGAGAACAGUUCUGUCAGUGAGCAUAUACUCAAAAUGUCUGGGUAUAAUAAUCACUUGAUUCAAUUAGGAGUUAAUCUUCCAGAUGAUUGCGUCAUUGACAGAAUUCUCCAAUCACUGUCACCAAGCUACAAGAGCUUCGUGAUGAACUAUACUAUGCAAGGGAUGAAUAAGACUAUUCCCGAGCUCUUCGCAAUGCUGAAAGCUGCGGAGGUAGAAAUCAAGAAGGAGCAUCAAGUGUUGAUGGUCAACAAGACCACUAGUUUCAAGAAAAAGGGCAAAGGGAAGAAGAAGGGGAACUUCAAAAAGAACAACAAGCAAGUUGCUGCUCAAGAGAAGAAACCCAAACCUGGACCUAAGCCUGAAACUGAGUGCUUCUACUGCAAGCAGACUGGUCACUGGAAGCGGAACUGCCUCAAGUAUUUGGCGGAUAAGAAGGAUGGCAAGGUAAACAAAGAUAUAUGUGAUAUACAUGUUAUUAAUGUGUACCUUACUAAUGCUCGCAGUAGCACCUGGGUAUUUGAUACUGGUUCUGUUGCUAAUAUUUGCAACUCGAAACAGGGACUACGGAUUAAGCGAAGAUUGGCUAAGGACGAGGUGACGAUGCGCGUGGGAAAUGGUUCCAAAGUCGAUGUGAUCGCAGUCGGCACACUACCUCUACAUCUACCUUCAGGAUUAGUAUUAGACCUAAAUAAUUGUUAUUUGGUGCCAGCGUUAAGCAUGAACAUUAUAUCUGGAUCUUGUUUGAUGCGAGACGGUUAUUCAUUUAAAUCUAAGAAUAAUGGUUGUUCUAUUUACAUGAGUAAUAUCUUUUAUGGUCAUGCACCCUUAAAGAGUGGUCUAUUCUUAUUAAAUCUCGAUAGUAGUGACACACAUAUUCAUAGUGUUGAAACCAAAAGAUGCAGAGUUGAUAAUGAUAGUGCAACUUAUUUGUGGCACUGCCGUUUAGGUCAUAUCGGUAUAAAGCGCAUGAAGAAACUCCAUACUGAUGAGCUUUUGGAACCACUUGAUUAUGAAUCACUUGGUACUUGCGAACCGUGCCUUAUGGGUAAGAUGACAAAAACACCGUUCUCCGGUACUAUGGAGAGAGCAACAGAUUUGUUGGAAAUCAUACAUACAGAUGUAUGUGGACCGAUGAAUGUUGAGGCUCGUGGCGGAUAUCGUUAUUUUCUCACCUUCACAGAUGACUUAAGCAGAUAUGGGUAUAUCUACUUAAUGAAACACAAGUCUGAGACGUUUGAAAAGUUCAAAGAAUUUCAGAGUGAAGUUGAAAAUCAUCGUAACAAGAAAAUAAAAUUCCUACAAUCUGAUCGUGGAGGAGAAUAUUUGAGUUACGAGUUUGGUGUACAUUUGAAACAAUGUGGAAUAGUUUCGCAACUCACGCCACCCGGAACACCACAGCGUAAUGGUGUGUCCGAACGUCGUAAUCGUACUUUACUAGAUAUGGUGCGAUCUAUGAUGUCUCUUACUGAUUUACCGCUAUCGCUUUGGGGAUAUGCUCUAGAGACGGCCGCAUUCACAUUAAAUAGGGCACCAUCAAAAUCCGUUGAGACGACGCCUUAUGAAUUGUGGUUUGGCAAGAAACCAAAGUUGUCAUUUCUGAAAGUUUGGGGCUGCGAUGCUUAUGUGAAAAAGUUUCAACUUGAUAAGCUCGAACCCAAAUCGGAAAAAUGUGUCUUCAUAGGAUAUCCAAAGGAAACUAUUGGAUACACCUUCUAUCACAGAUCCGAAGGCAAGACUUUUGUUGCUAAAUUCGGAAACUUUCUAGAGAAGGAGUUUUUCUCGAAAGAAGUGAGUGGGAGGAAAGUAGAACUUGACGAGGUAACUGUACCUACUCCCUUAUUGGAAAGUAAUACAUCACAGAAACCUGUUUAUGUGACACCUACACCAAUUAGUGAGGAAGCUAAUGAUAAUGAUCAUGAAACUUCAGAACAUGAUACUACUGAACCUCGUAGAUCAACCAGAGUGAGAUCCGCGCCAGAGUGGUACGGUAAUCCUGUUCUGGAAGUCAUGCUACUAGAUCAUGAUGAACCUACGAACUAUGAAGAAGCGAUGGCGAGCCCAGAUUCCGCAAAAUGGCUUGAAGCCAUAAAAUCUGAGAUGGGAUCCAUGUAUGAGAACAAAGUAUGGACUUUGGUUGACUUGCCCAAUGAUCGGCAAGCGAUUGAGAAUAAAUGGAUCUUCAAGAAGAAGACUGACGCUGACGGUAAUAUUACUGUCUACAAAGCUCGACUUGUCGCAAAAGGUUUUUGGCAAGUUCAAGGGAUUGACUACAAUGAGACCUUCUCACCUGUAGCGAUGCUUAAGUCUGUCUGAAUCAUGUUAGCAAUCGCCGCAUUUUAUGAUUAUGAAAUUUGGCAGAUGGAUGUCAAAACUGCAUUCCUGAAUGGAUUUCUGGAAGAAGAAUUGUAUAUGAUGCAACCAGAAGGUUUUGUCGAUCCAAAGGGAGCUAACAAAGUGUGCAAGCUCCAGCGAUCCAUUUAUGGACUGGUGCAAGCCUCUCGGAGUUGGAAUAAACGCUUUGAUAGUGUGAUCAAAGCAUUUGAUUUUAUACAGACUUUUGGAGAAGCCUGUAUUUACAAGAAAGUGAGUGGGAGCUCUGUAGCAUUUCUGAUAUUAUAUGUGGAUGACAUAUUACUAAUUGGAAAUGAUAUAGAAUUUUUGGAUAGCAUAAAGGGAUACUUGAAUAAGAGUUUUUCAAUGAAAGACCUCGGUGAAGCUGCUUACAUAUUAGGCAUUAAGAUCUAUAGAGAUAGAUCAAGACGCUUAAUUGGACUUUCACAAACCACAUACCUUGACAAAGUUUUGAUAAAGGGAUCUACAUGUGAAGCGGAAUACAUAGCUGCUUCAGAAGCAGCAAAUGAAGGAGUCUGGAUGAAGGAGUUCAUAUCCGAUCUAGGUGUCAUACCUAGUGCAUCGGGUCCAAUGAAAAUCUUUUGUGACAAUACUGGUGCAAUUGCCUUGGCAAAGGAAUCUAGAUUUCACAAGAGAACCAAGCAUAUCAAGAGACGCUUAAAUUCCAUCCGGGAUCUAGUCCAAGUGGGAGACAUAGAGAUUUGGAAAAUACAUACGGAUCUGAAUGUAGCAGACCCAUUGACUAAGCCUUUUCCACGGGCAAAACAUGAUCAGCACCAAGGCUCCAUGGGUGUUAGAAUCAUUACUGUGUAAUCUAGAUUAUUGACUCUAGUGCAAGUGGGAGACUGAAGGAAAUAUGCCCUAGAGGCAAUAAUAAAGUUAUUACUUAUUUCCUUAUAUCAUGAUAAAUGUUUAUUAUUCAUGCUAGAAUUGUAUUAACCGGAAACAUAAUACAUGUGUGAAUACAUAGACAAACAGAGUGUCACUAGUAUGCCUCUACUUGACUAGCUCGUUAAUUAAAGAUGGUUAUGUUUCCUAACCAUGGACAAAGAGUUGUUAUUUGAUUAACGGGAUCACAUUAUUAGGUGAAUGAUCUGAUUGACAUGACCCAUUCCAUUAGCUUAGCACCCGAUCGUUUAGUAUGUUGCUAUUGCUUUCUUCAUGACUUAUACAUGUUCCUAUGACUAUGAGAUUAUGCAACUCCCGUUUGCCGGAGGAACACUUUGUGUGCUACCAAACGUCACAACGUAACUGGGUGAUUAUAAAGGUGCUCUACAGGUGUCUCCAAAGGUACAUGUUGGGUUGGCGUAUUUCGAGAUUAGGAUUUGUCACUCCGAUUGUCGGAGAGGUAUCUCUGGGCCCUCUCGGUAAUGCACAUCACAUAAGCCUUGCAAGCAUUGCAACUAAUGAGUUAGUUGUGAGAUGAUGUAUUAUAAAACGAGUAAAGAGACUUGCCGGUAACGAGAUUGAACUAGGUAUUGAGAUACCGACGAUCGAAUCUCGGGUAAGUAACAUACCGAUGACAAAGGGAACAACGUAUGUUGUUAUGCGGUCUGGCCGAUAAAGAUCUUCGUAGAAUAUGUGGGAGCCAAUAUGAGCAUCCAGGUUCCGCUAUUGGUUGUUGACCGGAGACGUGUCUCGGUCAUGUCUACAUUGUUCUCGAACCCUUAGGGUCCGCAUGCUUAAGGUUUCGAUGACAGUUAUAUUAUGAGUUUAUGCAUUUUGAUGUACCGAAGUUUGUUCGGAGUCCCGGAUGUGAUCACGGACAUGACGAGGAGUCUCGAAAUGGUCGAGACAUAAAGAUUGAUAUAUUGGAAGCCUAUAUUUGAAUAUCAGAAGUGUUCCGGGUGAAAUCGGGAUUUUACCGGAGUACCGGGAGGUUACCGGAACCCCCGGGAGGUAUAUGGGCCUUAGUGGGCUUUAGUGGAAGAGAGGAGAGGUGGCCAGGGCUGGGCCGCGCGCCCCUCCCUCCUAGUCCGAAUAGGACAAGGAGAGGGGGCCGACGCCCCCCUUCCUUCUCUCUCUCCUCUUUCCCCCUCCCGAAUCCUAUUCCAACUAGGAAAGGGGGGGAAUCCUAUUCCCGGAGGGAGUAGGACUCCUCCUGGCGCGCCCUCUCCUGGUCGGCCGCACCCCCCUUUGAUUCUUUAUAUACGGAGGCAGAGGGCACCCCUAGACACACAAGUUGAUCCGCGUGAUUAUAUUCUUAGCCGUGUGCGGUGCCCCCUUCCACCAUAGUCCUCGAUAAUAUUGUAGCGGUGCUUAGGCGAAGCCCUACGACGAUAGUACAUCAAGAUCGUCACCACGCCGUCGUGCUGACGGAACUCUUCCCCGACACUUUGCUGGAUCGGAGUCCGGGGAUCGUCAUCGAGCUGAACGUGUGCUAGAACUCGGAGGUGUCGUAGUUUCGGUGCUUGAUCGGCCGGGCCGUGAAGACGUACGACUACAUCAACCGCGUUGUGCUAACGCUUCCGCUGUUGGUCUACAAGGGUACAUAGAUGACACUCUCCCCUCUCGUUGCUAUGCAUCACCAUGAUCUUGCGUGUGCGUAGGAUUUUUUUUGAAAUUACUACGUUCCCCAACAGACGUCGACCAAUAACUCGGACGAGCUAGCGAAUAGCGAUUAGCCAGCACUAUUGUUGUCCUCUGCAGCGUCUGCACCGAGGCCGUACUCGCGAGAGAUGAGUCCGAUGAUCGAGAUCGAGUAACCAAUCGCAUCGAGACGGGCGGAGCCACUGACGCAGGCGAGGGCAAGGGUUGAUUCGAUGGACUCGACCUCGGUGACGCGGCUGACGGUAACGUCUAUGCGUGGGUGGUGCUCGAGUGCUAGGAGGGUGGGCGCCGGAGUUACCGGCGUCGGCGCCUAGCUGGCGCGGUGGGGACGUGGUUUGUGAGGGAGGAGGAGGAGAAGUCGGGCCACAGUCGUGGGAGGAGGCGGUCGCGUGGUGGAGGAGGACCGAGAUCGAGCUAUGAGGGAAGGUUUGGGCGUGGCUGUUGGCUAGUAAGACGAGGGACGGCGGUGACAAUUUUUCUCUGGAGAGAUAUGGGAUUGGGAGGAGCGAGGGGGUUGGGCCUUGGGCGUGGGACGUGGGUUCCUGAUCGUGGCUGCUUUUUUUAUUAUAUCGUGGCUUUUUUUCCUUUAUUGUGCGUGGGUAGAGCAGGAUUCCGAGGAGGACGGGUGAAGGAAAUAAGGCGAUUGUGGGAUGAUUUGAGGUCGAACCAUCACGAUGUUUGAUUCUUCUUUAAUAGUAGAUUAAUGUAGGCUCAGAAGAACCGACUCACGCGCACACACGUACACGAGUCCGAGUCAGUGUCCGACACAACCAUCAACUAGCGUAAUUAACUUGACUAACCUCCUAGUCCAACACGCGUAUAGGAAUCUGUUUCCUAUUCGGGAGAGAAAGGUGGUAGAAGAAUCUAUACUACUAUUAAACAAUCAAACAAGAACUUCUUUAAGCACACCCCACAAAGCGUACACAGAUCUAAUACCACCGCACGAUUAGGCUCACUAAACUCAAUCUAACGGUUAGCCUUAAUCUAAACCAUUUUCUGUGUACACUUAGCAAUUUACAUUGACUGACCGUACUCCACCGUGGAGGAAAAUAUGAAACUCUACGCCUGGGAAAUUAGGAAACUAAUAAUCACGGGUGCAUCAUAUUCUAGGAAACUAAAUCAGAGUGCAUCCAUCCUAUUAGGAAACUAAUCUCAAACAAAUCCAUCAUACUAAAAAACUUAUCUCGGACGCAUCCAUCCUAUUAGGAAGCUAAUCGCGAACCUCCUGCCACCAUCAUGCACAUCAGUCGGAUUUGUUUUGUUUCAUGACAGAGAAACCAUAUACCGCUAUUUUGCCACAUAUAUUUAUUCUUAUAUACUUGUGCAGUUUCAAAUGAUCCAACAUAUCUGCACUCAUCAAACUUGAAGACAUACUGUUUAAGGCCUUAUUUGCACCGCCUCUUUUUCUUUGUCUGCGCGCCUCUUUCCUCCAAUAAUAAUAAUGAAUAACUUUUUCCGGAUCAGGUAUUACACUGUUAUAAAUGUUGCUGAAGCUACUCCUUACGACAUGGAAAAAGAGGAUGCAUGCUUUCUAUCUUCACCAGUUUGUAGCAUGUUUCAAAUUGUUGGCUCUUUCUUAUUUGAGGAUUCAUCAUGUUUUUUGUAAUUUAGAAGCUGACCUGAAAGCUUGAUAAGGUUAAGCUUGACAAAUACUCUGGAAUACUGUUCCUUCAAUUUUUAUUUUUCUUCCUAACUCAUUUUAGUUUCUGUACGCACAGAGCGUCUUACAUCAUUGUAAUUAGUAUGGUUGCCAACGCAUAAACAUAUACAAAACCAUAUAAAUACUUUCUGUCAUGAUAAUUAUUGAAUUUUUUUUAGCCCUUUUACAUUUCAAUUAGUUCUUGUAAAUCAUCUUUAUUUUAUAUAGAAGUCGUUGUAGUCACAUAUCAUCUUCUAUUUCCUAUUAUCCAGAGUAGGUAGCUAUAUAAUUUUGGCAAUCCACACAACCAAAAAAUAUAUAUAAUUUUAUCCAAAUUAGUACAAGUAUAUAUUUUGCUACGCAGAUUAGUAGAAUAAAAUAAGAUUCUAGAAUUAAGCAUGUUGAACAAUAUAAUUGCAUCGUAAGUCAGUUUAUACGGUUUUUCCUGGCUACACUCAAAGAGAAGACUACACUACAACCCCGCAAAAAAAGAAGACUACACUACAAGCCUAUAUUACUGCAUUAAUAAAUAAUUGCUGAUUUUAUUUAAAUGAGAAUAUUUUCCUGCGAUUACUCUAUGAAGCAACAUAACCACUAUUGUGUCUCACUUUUGAAAAUAUAAUUUGAGCGACAUCAAACAUUGUGUAUCCAUUUGAUUUAUAUUUUUAAAAACAAUUUUUUUUAUAUUAUCUGAAUCUCACCUGGUUUACGUUUGAGACGUGCGUUGCACGUGCAUGCUUACUAGUCAAGGGAAAUGAGCCUCGGUAUUCGAGAUUGAUGCUUUUUUUGUGUGCUUAGUUGCAAAGCCCACUAACUAUGACCAAGCACAAAAGCCCAUUUAGAUAGCUGGGGCCGAAUGGAGGGUAAGCCCGUGAUACGUUGCUACAGCGUGUCAGUGAAACCCAUCUCGGGUCCAUUCGCAUCGUUCUCCCGAAACCCAGCGCCCAACGCCGCCACUCCUCCGCCGCCGCGUAACCGGAGAGAUGUCGAGGCUUGCGGCCGCCGCCCUCCGCGGCGCCCUCACCGCCUCUGGGGCGCGCUCGUGCUCGAUCUCAGUGGCAUUUCCCUCUGCAUCCUCUCGUCUCUUCUCAACCGACGCAUCCGGCGCCGUAGCGGGAUCACAGGACGACUCAUCGUCCGGCGAAGGUAGCUCCCGCAUCCCUGUGCUGUGAUUCUCGUGAACUUGUGGGUAUUCUCUCGUAUGCUAGUCUGUUUAUUCUUCUCCGGCGAGGUCUAGCCGUUUAGGGUUUAAUAUUCUGUUCCGCUUUAGAAGGAGUGGCGGAAUGUAGGAUGACGGACCAUGUAGUUCAUUGAGGUAUGGUGGAACUCUGUUCUGACGGAGUUCAUAUUUUUGUAAUCUGUUGCGAGCAUCUGAAUUUAGGGUGUCAAACGUUUGGAAUGCGAAUCAGAAAUCCUAAAAUACGAGAUAGUGCUGUAAUCUUACUGAGAACAUUAGUUGGUUAUUCGUGCCGUGUGAAAAUCAGUAGUUGUUUUCGAUUGAGAGGGAUUAGGCCCAGUCCUCCCUUUGAUUGUGAUUGGAAAGGAGGUAUUGGGUUGGAUUACAGUGCAUACAGACAAGUCUGCAAGGAUGACCAUUUUAUCUCCUUAAGUUAUGAUCAUGAUACCGAGUCAAUUCAAGGUUCUUAUUUGUAGCUUUAUGCCUUUUAUGAUUCCUGUAUGUGACUUUCGAGACAUUAUUUUUUGGAUCUUUUUGUUUCUGCUGAAGAGAAGAUUGUUUUCACAUUCUUGAACUGAUGUAAAUAUCAACUGAAAAGGUCAUUUGCCUUUCUCAUGUACAUUAUUAUAACUGAGUGGUCCUUCCCAUGAGAUCUUGAGGAUGAUUUACUGUUUAUCUGCUGUUAGAUUGAGUGUUCUUCGUUUGGGGGCUACUCCACUAUCCUAUUGAUACCCGGAGCUAGUUGUACACUAUGUGAUUUGUACUGUCUUUUUGGCAGUAGUUAUGCUGUUUUGCACUAUGUGGAAUCUUUAGAGUAAUUUUUUUUCCAUGGUGUAAUAUCUUUGCAAACUUUGUGAUUCUUAUAUUUGAAUACCAUCAUGGUGUACAUUUCAGUAACACUUCUACUGCAACAGGCCAUACCUAUGGAAGGUUCUACACUAAUAUUUCUGGUGUCGGCCGUCUUGGCAAGAACAUGCUGAAGACUGACAUUAUCCAUUACCUUGACCAAUGUGAACUGUCACUGGAUGAUGUGAAGAUUGAUUACAACAAGGGGUUUUAUCCCAUGGGCGCGUACGGUUUAUUUUCUGCUCCCUAAUUCAUCUAUGUAUCUUGUUUUUACUUGAGCUUUUGGCUGCAUAUGCAUGAGUGGUUUCUUCUAAUGUGUAUUACUGAAGUCAGUAAUGCUCAGGAGUCUACAAUUGGGUUUAGCAGCUCCUUUCAAAAGAAAUAGCCUUUUAGGAUAGCAGUUGACAUGUGAUCCUUGUUUUGUGGUUAAGGCAUGAAUAUUAUCAUAAGUAUUUAGAAGCCUUGUCUAUACUUAAUAGACUAACUUGUUUCCAAGUCCUUUCAUGAUCUUUUCAUGCAGUAUGCUAAAGUAAUUGUUUAUUUAUGUUCUGUGUGCUAGCAUGGCAUUCACAUUUCACUUUUCUGUGUUGCUCGAAAUGCAGGAAACAUAGUUUCUUCUUAUUAAUGUCCCUUCGUGACACUAACCAAGCCAGUCUUAACACACAUAACUCAUUUCCUCGUAUAUAAAUAUCCAUCUUUAUUAAAUGCAUGGCAUGUCAUGUUUAAUUGCUCUGUCAUUUUAAAAUUGUUAUGGGUUUGCAGCUAAAUAUAGUGUUCUCUUACUGAUUUAUUAAUGUGAUUAUCAAUGUGAUUUUGAUCAGAUUAUUGAAGUUUCCUUCGGUGGAAUCAUUUGAGAAAGCAGUCAGGCAAACAAUUCAGGGUCGCAUGUACAGGCUUGAGAGGGUAAGGCGACACUCUUUUUAUCAGUUAUCUCAUUUGGUAUUAGUAAUUUCCAGUACACUGAUAUGUAUUUUAUUUGGAUAUAACAGGUGAGUCCUGAUGAGUGGGAACACAAGAUAUCUUUGAAUGGAAAAGCUGUAAGUGAUAGAUUUGCUUUUAAAGUUUGGUAUGUGUUACAACUAUUGACCAUGCAAAUCCCAAUAAAUGCAAUAAGGAGAAGAAGCCCUCUUUUUUUUUCUUUCAAUUUCCAGUUUAAUUGAUGCUAAUGUUAUUGAGAUCCAUAAUGCAGCUAUUGAUGUUUUCUAGUUGAUUUACUUUGUUUUUGCUGUUUGGGUCUAUUCAGGUACUGUUGCAAGGAGUCCCUCGAAACGCUCAAGUUGAUGACAUAGAACGUUUCUUGUGCGGCACUAACUAUGAAGCUCCUCCAUUUGAAAACUCUAUCAGGUAAUACUUUUGGGCGGCGGUCCUUGUUAGCCAGGAUGUGAUUAAGUCCAUUCAUCCUUGUCUGAUUCCACCAAUGGCUUGUGCAGAGCUGGGGUCCCCGAGCCUGUAAGAAUGGUGCUGGUAAAGUUCGGCUCGAGGACUGAUGCAACCAAUGCCUUCAUUGCUAAAAACAAGGGUUUCUGUCUGAACAAUCCUGUUACCAUGCGGGUUAUUCAGUAAUCUAUCAGGUCUUAUCAUGUGUGUGUCACCUCCUUCCAAUCAACCUAGGAUCUGAAGCCCAUCGGCGCAUGUGAUAGAGAUGUGUACGCUCCAUUCAACCUGAUUUAUUAUGGGUUUUCUCUGCCACUUUAUUGUACCAUUUUCGUUGUCAACCUGGACCUUGUGCUCGUGCUUAGGUUGCAGGUUUUCCUGCGACGACAGAAGUAGCUAAACGAGUUAAUCUAAUAAAUGUUAAUACACACCACUUUCUUGCUGGCACCAUGGUUGUAUCAUUAUGUUGCUUAAGUUGCUGUAGAAAACCAAAAGUUGCAGCCAUUGCAGCUGGAUUUCUGGUGCGUUUGAACUGCGUAUUGCUUAAAAAUACACGCAUUGUUGGGCUGGGAAAAUUUUGAGGUUGUUGCAUCAUCCAUUUGGUUCUAGAUGCUGAUAUCCUGGGCAUUAACGUGCGUAUGCUGUGCUGAGAAGAUAUGUGGAGAAUGAAUGCAAAGAAAUAUGUUCUUCAUUGGCUCUCAGUAUUAGUACAACGAACGUUAUGAAACGGAAACGACUGGUAAUAGUAGGAGCGUCUGUGACUGGCAACAACUUGGCACCCAGGCAAAGGCAAUUUGUUGUUUAUUCGAUGCAACUUAUUUGCGUUAUAGUACAUAGCAAUUUAUUGCGCUCGCAGCAUGCAUUGGCGAUGCUUCAUCAGUCAUCAGCCGAUCCAAAUCCAAGAGAAAACCCUUAUAUCUGCACGUAAAAACAUCAGCACUCCAUCAGUAAAACAGCAGAUGUCACCAUGACUUGUUUAGUCCUGCAAGUAAUAUUACCUCCAUCCCGGAUUACUUGGACGGAGGGAGUACUACUACAACUACUUCCUUAACGAGAUCGGGGCGAAAUCCCUUUAUAAUCAUAAAAAGAACAUGUAAAAAAAAGUAGUCCUAUGAUAUGACUAAAAAAACACUGGUGGAUGAGCAGGUUAAACCUCCUCUCACACCACUAGCAUAGUGUACUUUACUUGGUUAAGGCAAGACUUCCAUAAACAUUUUAUGUGAUACUACAAAAUCAUAAUUAGUACAACUCUCUUCUUAAAUGUAAGAUGUUUUGGCAGUUUAAUUUAAACUGCCAAAACAUCUUAUAUUAAUGAACGGAGGGUGUAGUAAGUACUUUCAAAUAAGAGUCGAAUGAUCUCUAUUUGGUGUGCCAUGCUAAAACUACAUACUAGUAAAAGCAUUUCUAUCAUUCUUAACCAAUCAAAAUCCUUAGCUUGUAUGUCUGGACUGAGCUGGUAUUUCAGGCGUGAGAUCAUCAUCUUUAUAGCAUUGACACAUAGUUAAUCGUUGCUAGAACGCCUUACCCCGAGCUUCUUCUUUGUGAGAGCAAGCAGUUCUUGAGGGUCGUGCUUGGUCUGCGCAUACGCCGCAAUUCCAUUCAUUUCCUACACAUGUUUCCAGUUCUCAUGAGUAAGUUCCUAUACAUAGACACUCAAAGAUGCGAAAAUUACAUAUGGAGCUGGGGCUCCAUGGAGCUCUUAAUUCAAAAAACAAUUUUUGAAGUUUAAAAAGUUUCAGGAAAAAUACACAUGUACGCGGAGAUGUACUCUACAUGUUUGUACAUAUUCAUCAAAUGUGUCAAAGAUUUGAGCUACCAAAAAAGAAUGAAAAUUGUUGAUUUUUAGCACAUGCAUUAUUCACUAUCAAAUCCAUGAUUUUUUUGAAGCUCACAUCUUAACGUAUUUCAUCAUGAAAAUUUAAAAACAUGUAAGACUACAUCCCUAUGUGCGUCAAAACGGUACACUCCUGAAAGAUGUCGUGUUCUUGCUACCUUGAUGAAUCUCUGCAUGUUAGGCCUUCCUGCCGUGGUAUCGUAGUUCUUUAUGUUGGCAAAGAAUACUUGGAAUCCAUCAACAAAUGGUGCAUAUGCGAUGUCCACCUGUUUCCAGUUCCAAACGACGUUAGUUCUUUAAAUUGCCAAAUUCUAGCUGAUAUAAGGGACCGAGGAUGGUCUGUGCAAAAUUACCAGACUGAACUGGCCGAGAAAGAAAGGCCCAUCAUCAAAUUUUGAAAGGGAGGUUUCUAUUUUGUCCAGAGCAGCUUCUAUUGACCAGCAACGAAUCACAUGUUAGUAAUCAGCAUGAAUAUAUAUUUACAGUUGAAUUUCGACGAGUGUUCUUAGCUCUUGCCAGCAUCAGCAGUCACUGCCCCCUUGGCGGUCAAUGCCGACAUCAUCGCUUGAUUGAAGGUGUCUGAAUAAGCCAGCAGUUCUUCUGCAAGCCCUUGCUUUUCAGGAUCCUAAGGUUCAUCAAUAUUUUUAUAAGAAUCAUGAGGUUGCCAAUGACCAAUGGGUAGUGCAUGCUAUUGCAGCCUUUAAAGACAAAAUGAACUCACAUCAGGACUCAAUUUGGGGCCUUCGAAAUUGCUGUCUAUAUACUUGAUCAAAUCCAAACUCUCUCCUGUCAUUUUGUUGUUGUGCUCUAGGCAGGGUACCUUGUCGGGGGGAAAAGGAACAUCUUAACACUCGAUAAAAGAAUGUUAGGAGUACUUUGACAAUCUAAAUAGGAGACGCCAUGUAUUUUAGUCUAGCCAUACCUGAUUCUUGGGGUAAAUCUUUCUGAGCCACGCUGGCCUAUCCGCCAAAUCGAUGGGGACAAGCAAGAUCUUGUGCUGCAAACCCUGGUACCGUAAACAAAUCGAAUUACAAAAAUCACAACAUGGAGUGAACCUAACCAAAGAAGACAACUCAUCUGGAGAGAAACAGAGCAUCGAUCAUCGGAAGAUGAGCUCGAUCGGUUGGUACCUUGCAGUUCCUCGCGAUCCAUGCUCGCUGCGCAUAUGGGCAAACGUACGCCAUGUACAACCUGUAAUCCCAGCUUCUCACACAUGAGCACAGAGAUAUGUCAAAACGAACAUGAACAUGUAGAUAUCGGUGCCCGCAAAGAGGAACAUGCAGAGAUGUUGAGUGAGCUUAGGGUGCUACAUGUUUGAGGAAAGGAAGUUUCGGAGAAGAAAGCAAAGUAGUACGUACUCCCUCCGUUCGGAAUUACUUGUCUCGGAAAUGGAUGUAUCUAAAACUAAAAUACGUCUAGAUACAUCUAUUUCUGCGACAAGUAAUUCUGAACGGAGGGAGUAGUAAGCAGACGACCUGGUUGCGCCAUCGUAGAGAGGUGGCUGCUGGCAAGCGGGUGUCAAGGUAGGCGGGAGAGCUUCCCCUGCAAACCUACAGAUUUUUCAUAGAGCGAUCAGCGAGCAAGCGAUCAUGGAGUAGAAAAUCCAUCUAGUGAUCACGCGCGGCAGCAGAGUAAUUUUAAGCAGGGAAGGAACUUUGCAGUACUUGCUUGCUGGAGACGCUGCCAUUGCGACCUGCAGCUAGUGAUCAAGGAGCUCGAGACGCACAAAAUGUACUAGUAUACAUUUUUGUAAGCGUAUAUAAAGCACUUCCACUGUGCGGACUGGUAAACGGAAGUAGGGCUGAUGGAGAAGUACGAAGAAAACUUUGAGGGAGCACAGACGUCAGCUGUGACGGCCGAGCUAGCGUGGAAGAAGAAGAAGAAGAAGAAGAAGCGAGCGGUAAUGGCUGAAGCCAUGUCACGGCGGUUGGUGCCACGAUAUAGGCUGCACAUUCGCCGGAGACAAUUAGUCGGCAUCGUACUAUCGGAUGGUUGAAAACAUGCCGAGGACACUGACUUUAACUCGUUUGGACAGUGACUUUGGUCCGCAGCUCUUCGUUAUCUCCCUGGAGCUCGUUGAACGUACACGCCAAGCAUUUCACAUUUCAAUUAGGAGCCUCGUACUGGGAAGAAACUACGAGGUACCGACAUAGAGCGAUUAGGACAGGUUCGUGGCAUCACCAUUAUCAGAUAUGAACUGAUUAAGUACGCAUUCCCACCACGCCCGAGCGAACGCAUGAAUGAUGAAUCUGUAUGUAGUCGAUACUGCUAGCAACCCCUUAAUAUGUAUGAUCAGCACACGUGUGGUGUGGACAACUAAAAUUGAUAGGAGUAAGAAAGGAGCACCGGUUCAUUAAGAAAAGUUCACGAGCAUUCAGCACAACUCAGAAUGAUCAUCCUUUACGAGACAAUAAAAGUUUACAAUAAGACCCAGUUUGUCUGUUUAUUCUCUAUAUAAAAGCAUGGCCUAUAUGCAUGGCAUGCAUCUUUUAUUCAAAAUAUAUUGCAACACCCCCGAGUCUAAAUCUGCUAUUCUGCAGCGAUUCCCUGGCAUGCAUAUUUGGUUAUCCUUGGUCACAUCUUCAA